rnacentral:lncRNA from 1 species
CAAGGCUGUCCGCUCACUUCCUGCAUCUUGAGUGCUUCACAGGGCUUUUGUGAGCUGAAAAAUUCCUCCGGCUGCGGUGCCCACGCUUCUGCUGCUGCUCGGCCAGCUCAAUGGAGCAGGUGGGCGGUGAGGCGGCACGCAUGCUGCGCAUCACCUGGAUGCUGUCCUCGGGCAGGGGUGGCAGCCCCAGCUCCUCCCUCCUCCUCACCUUCAUUGUCUGCAGGGCUUCAAAU